AUUGAACGCUGGCGGCAGGCCUAACACAUGCAAGUCGAGCGGAUGAAGGGAGCUUGCUCCUGGAUUCAGCGGCGGACGGGUGAGUAAUGCCUAGGAAUCUGCCUGGUAGUGGGGGAUAACGUCCGGAAACGGGCGCUAAUACCGCAUACGUCCUGAGGGAGAAAGUGGGGGAGCUUCGGACCUCACGCUAUCAGAUGAGCCUAGGUCGGAUUAGCGAGUUGGUGGGGUAAAGGCCUACCAAGGCGACGAUCCGUAACUGGUCUGAGAGGAUGAUCAGUCACACUGGAACUGAGACACGGUCCAGACUCCUACGGGAGGCAGCAGUGGGGAAUAUUGGACAAUGGGCGCAAGCCUGAUCCAGCCAUACCGCGUGUGUGAAGAAGGUCUUCGGAUUGUAAAGCACUUUUAGUUGGGAGGAAGGGCAGUAAGUUAAUACCUUGCUGUUUUGACGUUACCAACAGAAUAAGCACCGGCUAACUUCGUG
rnacentral:rRNA from 1 species